rnacentral:rRNA from 1 species
UGAGGAAUAUUGGGCAAUGCCCGCAAGGGUGACCCAGCAACGCCGCGUGGAGGAUGAAUGUCGUAAGAUUGUAAACUCCUGUUAGAGGGGAAGAAUAGUACCGGUUGGACCGGUAUAUGACUGUACCCUCAGAGAAAGCCCCGGCUAACUACGUGCCAGCAGCCGCGGUAAUACGUAGGGGGCAAGCGUUGUCCGGAUUUACUGGGUGUAAAGGGCGCGCAGGCGGGAUAAAAAGUCAGUGGUGAAAUCCUACAGCUUAACUGUAGAACUGCCUUUGAUACUUUUACUCUUGAGUUCGGGAGAGAGAGACGGAAUUCCAGGUGUAGUGGUUAAAUACGUAGAUAUCUGGAAGAACACCAGGUGCGAAGGCGGUCUCUUGGUCCGACACUGACGCUGAGGCGCGAAAGCGUGGGGAGCAAACA